rnacentral:rRNA from 1 species
UACGUAGGGUGCGAGCGUUGUCCGGAAUUAUUGGGCGUAAAGAGCGCGUAGGCGGUCCGGUAAGUCGGUUGUGAAAGUCGGGGGCUCAACCCUCGGAUGCCGGUGGAUACUGUCGGGCUUGAGUACGGAAGAGGCGAGUGGAAUUCCUGGUGUAGCGGUGAAAUGCGCAGAUAUCAGGAGGAACACCAAUUGCGAAGGCAGCUCGCUGGGACGUUACUGACGCUGAGACGCGAAAGCGUGGGGAGCAAACAGG